rnacentral:sRNA from 1 species
AGGUGCGGGGAGCAAACAGGUUUAGAUACCCUGGUAGUCCGCACAGUAAACGAUGUGCACCAGGUGGCGGGGGGUCGACCCUCGGUACCGUAGCUAACGCAUUAAGUGCACCGCCUGGGGAGUAUGCUCGCAAGGGUGAAACUCAAAGGAAUUGACGGGGGCCCGCACAAGCGGUGGAGCAUGUGGUUUAAUUCGAUGGUACGCGAGAAACCUUACCAGGGCUUGACAUACGCUGGAAGCGGUCCGAAAGGAUCGUGCCGCUUGCGGCCGGCGUACAGGUGCUGCAUGGCUGUCGUCAGCUCGUGCUGUGAAGUGUUGGGUUAAGUCCCGCAACGAGCGCAACCCCUGCUGUCUGUUGYCACCACSMGAGRKGGGGRCUCAGGCGGAACUGCCGGUGACAAACCGGAGGAAGGUGGGGACGACGUCAAGUCAUCAUGGCCCUUAUGUCCUGGGCUACACACGUGCUACAAUGGCCGGUACAGAGCGCAGCGAGGCCGCGAGGCGGAGCGAAUCGCUUAAAGCCGGUCCCAGUACGGAUUGGAGUCUGCAACCCGACUCCAUGAAGUUGGAAUCGCUAGUAAUCGCGCAUCAGCAUGGCGCGGUGAAUACGUUCCCGGGCCUUGUACACACCGCCCGUCACACCAUCCGAGUCGGGGGUACCCGAAGUCGCCAGCCCAACCCGCAAGGGGGGGCGGUUCCGAAGGUWCGWSSGGYGAGGGGGGUGAAGUCGUAACAAGGUAGCCGUACCGGAAGGUGCGGCUGGAUCACCUCCUUUCUAGUAAGAAAGGCGGGCUGCGGCCCUCACAGCCGCGGCCACAACCAAGGUCGUCGACCAGCAGGUGAGAGUCCUGCAAACAAUCGCCCUUUCGGGGGAUGCAACCUUCUCUUUCUUUUUCCCUUCCCUAAGCGAUUUGCAUUUUGUAGCCGGGGGCAUAGCUCAGCUGGCUAGAGCAUCGGCUUUGCAAGCCGAGGGUCAAGGGUUCGAAUCCCCUUGCCUCCAGAGAGAUUUUUUGCAGAGAAUAGCGCAGGGAUUGGAAGAAUGAUAUGGUCAAGUGAACAAGGGUCCACGGAGGAUGCCUAGGAGCUGCCAGGCGAAGAAGGACGCGACAAGCUGCGAUAAGCCGCGGGAAGGGGCCAAUACCCGAAGAUCCGCGGAUUUCCGAAUGGGGCAACCC